rnacentral:rRNA from 1 species
UACGUAGGUGGCAAGCGUUGUCCGGAUUUACUGGGCGUAAAGAGCGCGCCGGCGGUCGUCCAAUUCGCGUGUGAAAGCCCCCGGCUCAACUGGGGAGGGUCACGCGAUACUGGUCGACUCGAAGGCAGGAGAGGGUAGUGGAAUUCCCGGUGUAGUGGUGAAAUGCGUAGAUAUCGGGAGGAACACCAGUGGCGAAGGCGACUACCUGGCCUGUUCUUGACGCUGAGGCGCGAAAGCUAGGGGAGCAAACGGG